GACGAACCGUGCUAACGUUAUUCGGAAUCACUUUGGGCUUAAAGGGCGCGUAGGCGGGCUCGCCAGUCAGGGGUGAAAGCCCACGGCUCAACCGUGGAAGUGCCUUUGAUACUGCGAGCCUCGAGGGAGGUAGGGGCGUGCGGAACUUCCGGUGGAGCGGUGAAAUGCGUAGAUAUCGGAAGGAACACCGGUGGCGAAAGCGGCGCGCUGGACCUCUUCUGACGCUGAGGCGCGAAAGCCAGGGGAGCAAACGGG
rnacentral:rRNA from 1 species